rnacentral:SRP_RNA from 1 species
GCCGGGCAUGGUGGCACAUGCCUGUAGUCCCAGCUACUCGGGAGGCUGAGGCAGGAGAAUCACUUGAACCCGGGAGGCAGAGGUUGCAGUGAGCUGAGAUCGUGCCACUGCACUCCAGCCUGGGUGACAGAGUGAGACUCUGUCUCAA